rnacentral:rRNA from 1 species
ACACAUGCAGUCGAACGGCAGCAUGUUCUAACUUCGGUUAGAAUGAUGGCGAGUGGCGGACGGGUGAGUAACGCGUAGGAAUCUACCUAGAAGUGGGGGGUAACCCGGGGAAACUCGGGCUAAUACCGCAUACGCUCUACGGAGGAAAGCUGGGGACCUUAGGGCCUGGCGCUUUUAGAUGAGCCUGCGUCAGAUUAGCUUGUUGGUGGGGUAAAGGCCUACCAAGGCGACGAUCUGUAGCUGAUUUGGGAGGAUGAUCAGCCACACUGGGACUGAGACACGGCCCAGACUCCUACGGGAGGCAGCAGUGGGGAAUUUUGGACAAUGGGCGAAAGCCUGAUCCAGCAAUGCCGCGUGUGCGAUGACGGCCUUCGGGUUGUAAAGCACUUUCAAUUGUGAAGAAAUGUGCACGGUUAAUACCCGUGUAAGCUGACGUUAACAAUAGAAGAAGCACCGGCUAACUCUGUGCCAGCAGCCGCGGUAAUACAGAGGGUGCGAGCGUUAAUCGGAAUUACUGGGCGUAAAGAGCGCGUAGGUGGUCUACUAAGUCAUGUGUGAAAGCCCUGAGCUUAACUUAGGAAUUGCAUGUGAUACUGGUAGUCUAGAGUAUGGUAGAGGGAAGUGGAAUUUCCGGUGUAGCGGUGAAAUGCAUAGAUAUCGGAAGGAACACCAGUGGCGAAGGCGACUUCCUGGGCCAAUACCGACACUGAGGCGCGAAAGCGUGGGUAGCAAACAGGAUUAGAUACCCUGGUAGUCCACGCCGUAACGAUGAGAACUAGGUGUAAGAAUUUAUUUUUGUGCCGUAGCUAACGCGUUAAGUUCUCCGCCUGGGGAGUACGGCCGCAAGGCUAAAACUCAAAGGAAUUGACGGGGGCCCGCACAAGCGGUGGAGCAUGUGGUUUAAUUCGAUG